AGAAAAUCUGGAGCUGAAGCCAUGAGAGAACAGGUGACAGAAGCUCUGCAAGACCUUCCUUAUGUUCGUGAAACGAGGGUGGCUGCAUAGAUCUCAUGGUAGAACAACACCAUCAGCCUGCACCCCCAUCUUGCGGGAAUAAGAAAUCCGGGCAGAUUCUCAGUUGGUGUAAAUUGGUGUAACGCUAUUGAAGCCAGUGGAAUAAUAUGGAUUUAUCCACAGCAUACGCCAAACCAGCAGUCAGCACCAGUGCUAGAGGAGGUGUCCUAUCAACUAAAAGAAAUCACAAGCCCAGACUGCUUCCAUUGAAUGUAAAAGGCAGGACUACAAUCACACCUAGAACCAAUGCUGGAAUUACACGCAGCCAAACUUGUUUUCAACUGGACUGUUCAAGUGCUUAAAGUUAAGCAUACACAUAAGUGUUUGCAGGAUUAAAGCCUCCGUUUGGAAUGACAGAGUAAAUCCAAAUGGAGAUGGAUUAGCUGGCAGGGGGCAGGUGAGGUGGUCAAAGGCACACGCAGUUUAUCAUAUGGCUCUGUAAUUUACUACAUGAUUAUCACAACUACAUAUUUGGUGUGGGGAUAUAGAUAUACAUCCACACGUGUAUACACAGAGCCAAACUUUUUUGGCACGGGGGCCACACAGUCAUUUCAAAUUGAGACUCUGGGCUGCACUUGUUCCAGGACUGCUUGUCUGUUGCCAACACACUGAAGCGCCUCAGGCUUCAGUCUGAUUCUUUGUUUGCUUGCCCAUUAAAGUUCUUAUCCCACA